GACAGAGGAUGCAAGCGUUAUCCGGAAUGAUUGGGCGUGAAGCGUCUGUAGGUGGCUUUUAAGUCCGCCGUCAAAUCCCAGGGCUCAACCCUGACAGGCGGUGGAAACUACCAAGCUGGAGUACGGUGAGGGCAGAGGGAAUUUCCGGUGGAGCGGUGAAAUGCGUAGAGAUCGGAAAGAACACCAACGGCGAAAGCACUCUGCUGGGCCGACACUGACACUGAGAGACGAAAGCUAGGGGAGCGAAUGGG
rnacentral:rRNA from 1 species